UACGUAGGGUGCGAGCGUUAAUCGGAAUUACUGGGCGUAAAGCGUGCGCAGGCGGUUUUGUAAGCCAGAUGUGAAAUCCCCGGGCUUAACCUGGGAAUGGCAUUUGGGACUGCAAGGCUUGAGUGCGGCAGAGGAGACUGGAAUUCCUGGUGUAGCAGUGAAAUGCGUAGAUAUCAGGAGGAACACCGAUGGCGAAGGCAGGUCUCUGGGCUGACACUGACGCUCAUGCACGAAAGCGUGGGGAGCGAAACAAGGAUU
rnacentral:rRNA from 1 species